UACAGAGGUCCCAAGCGUUGUUCGGAUUUAUUGGGCGUAAAGGGCGCGUAGGCGGCGGGGUAAGUCGGGUGUGAAAUCUCAGGGCUCAACCCUGAAACUGCACUUGAUACUGCUCUGCUUGAGGACUGGAGAGGAGACUGGAAUUCACGGUGUAGCAGUGAAAUGCGUAGAUAUCGUGAGGAAGACCAGUGGCGAAGGCGGGUCUCUGGACAGUUCCUGACGCUGAGGCGCGAAGGCCAGGGGAGCAAACGGG
rnacentral:rRNA from 1 species